CCUACGGGCGGCAGCAGUGAGGAAUAUUGGUCAAUGGCCGGGAGUCUGAACCAGCCAAGUCGCGUGAGGGAAGACGGCCCUACGGGUUGUAAACUUCUUUUGUCGGGGAGCAAAAGACGCCACGCGUGGCGUUCCGAGAGUACCCGAAGAAAAAGCAUCGGCUAACUCCGUGCCAGCAGCCGCGGUAAUACGGAGGAUGCGAGCGUUAUCCGGAUUUAUUGGGUUUAAGGGGUGCGUAGGCGGAAGAUCAAGUCAGCGGUAAAAUUGAGAGGCUCAACCUCUACGAGCCGUUGAAACUGGUUGUCUUGAGUGAGCGAGAAGUAGGCGGAAUGCGUGGUGUAGCGGUGAAAUGCAUAGAUAUCACGCAGAACACCGAUUGCGAAGGCAGCAUACCGGCGCUCAACUGACGCUGAUGCACGAAAGUGUGGGUAUCGAACAGGAUUAGAUACCCGUGUAGUC
rnacentral:rRNA from 1 species